UGAGCAAUCUGCCCUUCUCAUCGGAAUAAGCGUUGGAAACGACGUCUAAUGCCGAAUACGACCUCCUUUCGCAUGAUCGGAGGUGGAAAGCUCCGGCGGAGAAGGAUGAGCUCGCGGCCUAUCAGCUAGUUGGUGUGGGUAAUGGCCCACCAAGGCGACGACGGGUAGCCGGCCUGAGAGGGUGACCGGCCACACUGGGACUGAGACACGGCCCAGACUCCUACGAGAGG
rnacentral:rRNA from 1 species